CAAAAGAAGAAGAGUGAGAGAGAAGAACUGAGAGAAAGUUUGAGAGAGAAAACUGGUUUGCCGGAGUUUUCGUCGGAGAGUCGCCGACGGAAUCCAUUUCCUACCAAGACCUGUACUCUGGAGCCCUUCUUGGAGUGAAGUAAGAACUCGUGUGGAGAUUUCCUCCUCCUUCCUCAAGAUCAGAAAGAAAACCCGCAAAGGAGGAUUCGCUACCGAUCUUGGUGAGGGAAACGGACGGAACGACGAGAUCUGAGAGACUAUCCAAGAACGGUAAGGAGGAGAGAGAAGCCGCCGGCGUGCCACGCGUCAACCAACCAGAGGGCCGCGUGCGCCAAUCGCCCCCGGACACGCGUCGAGCGCCGCCUGGGAAAACGCGGCUCCAGCGCUCCUGCGACACGCGUCCCUGGCUCCGCGACCCGACCCGCGCUCCUUGGCUGACCCGAUACCCGCACGGCGAACCGAAUCCAGUUGACGACCCGCGGUCCACCCGAAUCACCGCUUCCGACCCGAACCCGCGACCCGCGACUGCAGGAAUUUCUGGGCGCGUGACACUCGCGCGUGGAACCCGCGAGUGGCUGCUCCCCAGCGCGUGACUGGCGCGUGGAGGCGCGUGACCUUAUUGAGGAAAAAUCACCCCCUCUCGUUACGCCAAGUGUGUGGAAACGCUGCGUAAGGGCACGUAGCAUCCAAGUAAGUCGCCACACGGAAUUUAGGAAGUAAUACUUGUAGGAACCGCUUGGGAUGCAUGCAUGCUAGUCUGAAUAUUUUAGGUUGUAGCUUUCCCGUAAAUGUUCGUAGGAAAUAGUUUAUUGAACGUAAGAUGUAUGCUGUGAUUUGUUAUGAGAGUUACUUGGAUACUGCUUAUAUGCUUUUAAUUCCCAUUUUAUUUUAUGCAUAUGUAUAUCUUUUUGCUGAAUGGAGAAUGGAAAAUUUGCGAACUCUGUGCUCCGGGAAUUGAUGGAUGUUAUCACCCCGUCGAGCUUGUAUGAUUACUUUGCAUGAAAUGUGUUUGAGGUUUUUGGAUAAUAGUUAUGUACGUACUCGGUUAUUUUUAUGGCCACCUUUAUGAAUAAGACUAGAAGACUAUGGUUAGAGCGACAAGCCAUCAAGGAAUAGACUUAACCUUUCCCUAUUAGUUUAUCAGACCAUCACGGCACAUGAAACAUCCUUAGAGUACCCUUAGGCUACUUGUGUGUGGAUGGUGAUAUAGCUUCGUGGGGGACCAGCGGGUUCCUGAUCAGGACUCGACUGCUCGAUAGCCGUUUAGUAUGGGAAACGGGAUACCCACGUCGUAAUUGACCGUUUAGCUGGAUGGAAUAGGGGAGGUAGCCCUCCCAAAUACAGGGGGAUUAUCAUGAGUCUAGGGGGUUGCAGCUCACUUCCUAGGCAAGACCCCAGAUAAUCUCAUACCCAUGCCGAGGUAGCCACUCGUAAGGCACCAGUCCAACACAGGUUAGCAUAAAA